AAUAGAAACUGAAACGACAAAGGGAUCCAGUGUGCCUGCGGAGGACCUUUGCUGUCAGACUUCCCGUGAUCUUGGGGCAGAAACAUGUUCCAAAGCCCUGCGGGUCAGAACUGACGGGAAGACGCAGUCUGUGGAGGCUGCAAAGAAGCCCACGGCCUCUUCUUCCUCUGGCAGAACCUGGAGGAGGACUGGAUCCCGCCCGAGGGAGAGAUGACGCCUGCCCUGGAGCCAUUGAGGAUGUCACUUCUCUAAUACUGCUCUGUGUGGAAAGAUGUCUGCGGAGGCUUCCUCGGGAAUCUUGCAAAAGCCCCAUGACUCUGGUAA